rnacentral:rRNA from 1 species
AUUGAACGCUGGCGGCAGGCCUAACACAUGCAAGUCGAACGAGUGGCGGACGGGUGAGUAAUGUCUGGGAGACUGCCCGAGGGAGGGGGAUAACUACUGGAAACGGUAGCGAAUAUCGCAUACCAUCGGAUGUGCCCACAUGGGAUUAGCUAGUAGUUGGGGUAACGGCGCACCUAGGCGACGAUCCCUAGCUGGUCUGAGAGGAUGACCAGCCACACUGGGACUGAGACACGGCCCAGACUCCUACGGGAGGCAGCAGUGGGGAAUAUUGCACAAUGGGCGCAAGCCUGAUGCAGCCAUGCCGCGUGUAUGAAGAAGGCCUUCGGGUUGUAAAGUACUUUCAGCGAGGAGGCGUUACUCGCAGAAGAAGCACCGGCUAACUCCGUGCCAGCCGCCGCGGUAAUAC